AAAAAACAGACGAAAUAAUUAAAAUAAAAAUAAAACUAACUCAAUGCAGCAAAACCACCUCCUCUCAUCAUCUGCUUAAACUCAUCAUAAUUAACCAUUCCAUCUCCAUCAAUGUCCACUUUGUUAAUCAUUUGUUUACAAUCCUCUAUGGUUCGUCCCUGUUUUAGCCCUAACGAUGCGAGAACAGAUUUCAAUUCCUCAACACAAAUGAAUCCGUCGCCGUUUUGAUCGAACACAUUGAAUGCCUCACGCAUAUCUUCUUCUUCAUCGCGUUCAUCCAUGAUGGUCUGGUAAAGCGAACCGAACUCAUCUAUGUCAACGCAACCGUCUCCAUUCACAUCGAUUUUCUCGAUCAUCUGGAUUAAUUCCGGAUCUGGUAUGAAUAUCCCCAUAUUCUCUAACGAACUGUUUAAUUCAUUCUUCGUUAUCCGUCCGUCGCCGUUCCGAUCGAAGAUUUGGAAGAUACGUCGGAGUUCGUCUGAGUCCAUUCUCUUCUGAUGCGAUUCAACCGCGUCGGAAACGGAAACCGGCGACUGCUGUGGCGGCGCCGGUGACCGCGAAUGGAUGCGUUUUUGGUGGAACCAAGAUGGAGGAAGGAAGGAGAUGAGUUUUUUUGGGAGUAAGGAGAGGAGGAUUGGGUUGAAGAGAUUGAAAAUGCAACGAGUUUUGAAGAAAAUGGCUGGGAAUUGCAUUUGGUUUUUAGAUUGUAAACUAUUAAGGGGUGGUUGUAGUUUGUUUUGUUGAGAAAAAAUAGGAGACAAAUUAGGAGUAGCUUUUGGGAGAAUAUAUAAAG
rnacentral:misc_RNA from 1 species